UAAAAAGCGUUGAUAGAAAAGAGUAGUCUUUUUACGUCUUAAAGGGAGUGUCUGUCACUGACUGGAAGCAGACUAAGAAAGAAAAAGAUGAAGUUCACUUCUGGAGCUUGUCGAAAGACCGGCAUAGCCGUUAAAGUGUGAAGAGCGUCAAUUCAAUUGGCGAAUUAGGAUGGUAUCGCGAGACCUCGUUCCUUUG
rnacentral:ncRNA from 1 species